rnacentral:rRNA from 1 species
AGUGAACGCUGGCGGUAGGCCUAACACAUGCAAGUCGAGCGGCAGCACAGUAAGAGCUUGCUCUUACGGGUGGCGAGUGGCGGACGGGUGAGGAAUACAUCGGAAUCUACUUUUUCGUGGGGGAUAACGUAGGGAAACUUACGCUAAUACCGCAUACGACCUACGGGUGAAAGCAGGGGAUCUUCGGACCUUGCGCGAUUGAAUGAGCCGAUGUCGGAUUAGCUAGUUGGCGGGGUAAAGGCCCACCAAGGCGACGAUCCGUAGCUGGUCUGAGAGGAUGAUCAGCCACACUGGAACUGAGACUCGGUCCAGACUCCUACGGGAGGCAGCAGUGGGGAAUAUUGGACAAUGGGCGCAAGCCUGAUCCAGCCAUACCGCGUGGGUGAAGAAGGCCUUCGGGUUGUAAAGCCCUUUUGUUGGGAAAGAAAAGCAGCAGGUUAAUACCCCGCUGUUCUGACGGUACCCAAAGAAUAAGCACCGGCUAACUUCGUG